GCGUGGGGAGCCGGUCUUGCAGCAGCGGGAUUAGCUUCUAAAGUCUCUUUCAUCUCUCCUAAGGAAGAAGCCUAGAAGAAGAAGAAGAGGAAAGAAAAGGAGUCAGGAAUGGCUCUUAGACUUUAGGUUCUUCAGCCUUUGGACUCUGGGACUUGAACCAGCAGCUUCCUGGGAUCUCUCGAGCCUUUGGUCAGAGACUGAAGGUUGCAUUGUUGGCUUCCUUGGUUUUGAGGUUUUCAGACUUGGACUGAGCCACUAACACCUUCUGUCUUCUCCAGUUUGCAUACAGCCUAUCAUGGGACCUUUGCCUUGUAAUUGUGUGAGCCAGUUCUCCCUAAUAAACUCCCUUUUAUAUAUACAU